CAUGGAGUAACAAGCUAGAGCGGUUACUCUACUAAAGAUCCUCAUUACCACACCUGUGACCACUGCAGAAGCUGAGAGGUGCUUCUCCACCUGGAAAAGAAUCAAAACAUUUCUCAGAAACACCAUGAACCAGAACAGGCUGAAUGCACUGGACAUGCUGUCAGCGGAAAAGAAACUGUGACAGAGAUGACGGACUUUAAUCAGAGGGUCAUCGAGAAAUUUACAGUUCAGAAAGAAAGGAGGGUGAACUUCUGUUCAAGAAGAGCCUCUGAAUGUUGUUGGGCAGCAGGUUGUGUUGUGAUUGUGAUUUGUCUUUAGUUUGUUCUUUUGUCACUUCUGUAUUUUGUUUUGU